rnacentral:tRNA from 1 species
GCGGGUGUAGCUCAGUGGUAGAGCAUAAGCUUCCCAAGCUUGUGACGAGGGUUCGAUUCCCUUCACCCGCUCCA